UAGGGAAUCUUCGGCAAUGGGGGCAACCCUGACCGAGCAACGCCGCGUGAGUGAAGAAGGUUUUCGGAUCGUAAAGCUCUGUUGUAAGUCAAGAACGGGUGUGAGAGUGGAAAGUUCACACUGUGACGGUAGCUUACCAGAAAGGGAUGGCUAACUACGUGCCAGCAGCCGCGGUAAUACGUAGGUCCCGAGCGUUGUCCGGAUUUAUUGGGGCGUAAAGCGAGCGCAGGCGG
rnacentral:rRNA from 1 species